GAUUUCUGGCUUGAAACAUUUUGCCGGCCACGGUUUCGUGUGUUAGUGCUUGAUGUUCUGGCCAUCCUUCCAAUCGCUAUUGGCCUUUCUUCACUGAUUGGUCAGUAGUAUUGGAUCUUUUACUUUGAAAAAAUUAGAGUGUUUCAAGCAGGCUUUAUGCUAUGAAUACAUUAGCAUGGAAUAAUAAUUUAGGACUUCGGUUCUAUUUUGUUGGUUUCUAGGACUGAAGUAAUGAUUGAUAGGGAUAGUUGGGGGUGCUAGUAUUCAGCGGCCAGAGGUGAAAUUCUCGGAUUCGCUGAAGACUAACUUAUGCGAAAGCAUU
rnacentral:rRNA from 1 species